GUUUUCCAUCAGAAUUUGAGCUUCUUUUCCACACUUAUGAACAGUCAUGUGUGUGAGAAACAAAGGCCAAUAUCCACAGACAGAAGAGAGGAACCCCGAGGAAACAGACAAGGAGACGCGAAACGAUAAUGAAGCAUAAAGAACAGGCCGAUGCUGCACAGUUUUUCUGGGGAGGCACAGACUAUCUCUUCACUCUAGAUAGGAGACUGAGGAUACAUCAAAGGAUGAUGCUACCCAAACCUAACUUGAUAAACCAAUGGAUGUUUUGCCUGCAUUUACGUCCAUCAGCUGCCUGUACACAAUACCGUAGGAAGCCAGAGAAGGUGUUGGAUCUCUGAAACUGGAGCUGCAGAUGGGGAUCCACCAUAAAGGCGGCAGAAGUAAGGCACAGUAUUAAACGCCGAUUUUGUUUGCUCGUCCUUAAGAUGUGGGAAACACACACUGCUUGGAACAGAAGCAGCCGCAGACUGGCUUCCCUGAGGACAUGGAACACACUUUAAGAUCUAACCGAGCCGUGACUAUGCCAAUGCUUCUUUGCCGCUGUGUCUUUCCCCUCUAUCACAUAUUUUAAAGCACUAUACUAGUAGCUUGCUCAAUCAGUUUUAGUAGGUAUUCAAGAAAGAGGAAAAAGGAAAUGGGAUGGAAAUCAAGCCCGUCAGGGAGCUCAAAGACCAUACAACAAGAGAGGGC
rnacentral:lncRNA from 1 species